GAUGAACGCUGGCGGCGUGCCUAAUACAUGCAAGUCGAGCGAACAGACGAGGAGCUUGCUCCUCUUACGUUAGCGGCGGACGGGUGAGUAACACGUGGAUAACCUACCUAUAAGACUGGGAUAACUUCGGGAAACCGGAGCUAAUACCGGAUAAUAUAUUGAACCGCAUGGUUCAAUAGUGAAAGACGGUUUUGCUGUCACUUAUAGAUGGAUCCGCGCCGCAUUAGCUAGUUGGUAAGGUAACGGCUUACCAAGGCGACGAUGCGUAGCCGACCUGAGAGGGUGAUCGGCCACACUGGAACUGAGACACGGUCCAGACUCCUACGGGAGGCAGCAGUAGGGAAUCUUCCACAAUGGGCGAAAGCCUGACGGAGCAACGCCGCGUGAGUGAUGAAGGUCUUCGGAUCGUAAAACUCUGUUAUUAGGGAAGAACAAAUGUGUAAGUAACUAUGCACGUCUUGACGGUACCUAAUCAGAAAGCCACGGCUAACUACGUG
rnacentral:rRNA from 1 species